UACAGAGGUCUCAAGCGUUGUUCGGAUUCAUUGGGCGUAAAGGGUGCGUAGGUGGCGUGGUAAGUCGGAUGUGAAAUCUCGGGGCUCAACCCCGGAACUGCAUUCGAUACUGCUGCGCUAGAGUACUGGAGAGGAGAUUGGAAUUUACGGUGUAGCAGUGAAAUGCGUAGAUAUCAGAAGGAACGCCGGUGGCGAAAGCGACGCACUGGAUCACAACUGACGCUGAGGCACGAAAGCUAGGGGAGCAAACAGG
rnacentral:rRNA from 1 species